rnacentral:rRNA from 1 species
UACGAAGGGGGCUAGCGUUGUUCGGAAUUAUUGGGCGUAAAGAGCUCGUAGGCGGCUUGUCGCGUCGACUGUGAAAACCCGUGGCUCAACCAUGUGGUCUGCAGUCGAUACGGGCAGGCUAGAAUUCGGUAGGGGAGACUGGAAUUCCUGGUGUAGCGGUGAAAUGCGCAGAUAUCAGGAGGAACACCGGUGGCGAAGGCGGGUCUCUGGGCCGAUAUUGACGCUGAGGAGCGAAAGCGUGGGGAGCGAACAGG